AGAAAGAGAGGCUAGAAAAAGAGAAGAAGAAAGGGGGGAAGAAAAAAGACAAAGGGGGAGGAGAGGCUGAGGACAGAAAUGGAGGCGCAGCAGCAAGAGAGGCCUAGUUUUCCGCCCCGUCAUUCUUGGAUAAUGAAAAGAGACGCUAAACAAAUAAACAGGUCGGAUGAACAAAGACCCCCGGAAACAGAAAGAGUGAUUCAUACAAAAAAAAAAUGGGAUGUCUUCCUGUUAAACGCAUCAUUUCAAAGACUUCAUGUAGUCCCAGGACUGUGGCGGGAAAACUGGAUCAUGGUUUUAAAAGCACCUCAGGGGUUUCUGGACCCUCGCUCAAUGCUUCUCUUGUUUCACCAAGUUUUAGUACGAGGGGACACAUUUCCUUUUUCAACUGGAGCAUGGACUGAAACCCAGAUAAGUCUUUUAUCUCUUUGAGUUUUGUAUUCUUUGUCGUUUUUAUUCUUUUAGUCAGAUAGGUGGCAGUGGUUGGAUAAAAAUGGACUCGAUGGAUUGUUGAAGGAUUGCUGAAAUGGUUUUGGUGCCAUAGAGUAUGUAAAUAAUAAGUUUACCUACAGUACAUAGGAUCCUGUUAGCAGCCCACAUGCCCCCCAUGUCUCACCUGUAGACAGGUUUUCUGGAUGUGACAAAAAGAAAACCAUUGGUCACAAACCGGCACUGAAGGCAGAAAUGCUAGUAAUGUUGUUGUGUGUGUGUGUGUGUGUGUGUGUGUGUGUGUGUGUGUGUGUGUGUGUGUGUGUGUGUGUGUGUGUGUGUGUGUGUGUGUGUUACUGUUCUGUGUGUGGCUUCCCGGUUUUCAAUCUCUCUCUAGCUGCUUCUUUUCUCUGAAGACCACUCAUUCCUGAUUGGUCCCCCCCCAAAUUCUUCUUACAGUAGAAGGAGGAAAUGGAGAGAAAGAAGAGGGAGAAAUUAAGAAUACAACCAAACACCUUGACAUGGUGUUUUUUAGUGAUUUGUGUGUGUUUUGUCUCUGACAAAAGUACACAUAGGGAGCAUUUCAUUUCUUUUAUUUCAAUAACAUUUUCUUGUGUCCUAGGUAGUUUUCUGCAAGAAAAGCGGGACGCAACUUUAUUGAUAAACUGGUUGCGUGACAACAUUCAAUACCCAGCAGCGACCAUGCACGAGUCCUGCAGAGUACAUGUCCAUCAAAAUUAGUAUUAUCUCUGCUUUUGACGAACAAAGUCCUACAUAUUUCAUCUAGCCAAAUGUCAGCAUGGGUGGGAACUUAAGUUCACUAACCCAUUAGAAUGUGAUUUCAAGUAUCUUAAAGAAUGAAGGAGAUUUUUGCACUUGUGAUUUUGUCACAAAGUACCACUGAAGUCGACCACUCCGUUAGUAGAAGUCUCCGGGGCGGUUUCAGAGUUAGAAACUGCGCCUCGAUAUAGGAAGCCACUGGACUGGAGGUGCCAGGUGUGCCAAUGUAGCAUGAACCUCUGACCUUUGACCUUCGGGCUCUUAUGUAUUUAUGUACAAAGUGGUUAAUUUAAUCAAAUAGUAUAUUAUGAAUUAUUAUUAUUAUUAUUUUUGAUCUGACUAUUUUUCUAUGUGAGUAAGAAACACCUGGUUGACUGGAAAGAUGCCCGACUACACUUCUAUUUGCAGGGGAUCAUUUAAGUGUUUGAUUAUUUUGAUUUCCCUUUUUUUGCACGCUAAGUCCUCUGCUUUCAUACAACAAACUCGAUGCAUGUCUUUGCGAUUAUUUAAGUUUACCGUCACUUGGUUUGGUCAACUGAAGGUUCACGAGUCUCCUGUUUACUGAAGUGUAGUAUUAAAAAGACUUGAGUGGAAAAUGGGCCUCAGACUGAACAAACGGUAAGAGGAGUUAUUCACGCAGAUUCUUUGGGAGUUGAAGGUCUUAAUCGUACUGUAUAAUUUACUAAGAGGUGAUGUAUGAGCUUUGAAUAGUUCUUUAAUUGGAGAUCUUAAGUGUGUCUUUCUCACCAAAUUGUGUUGUAACAUUCAUGAUAACUUAUGGGCUAACUCCCUAACCUAUUUACACUCAGUGUUCUGUGCUGUAACAUAUUUAUGCAUACAUUAAACUGCACUGACCCCUAUCAGUAUACGGUGAAUAGUGUCAGGUAGUGAGUGUAAAAACCAUUUGAUGGCAAAAAACAUUGAUGCUCUUUAACUGUACUGUUUUUGUAGUUAAGGAUUAGAGGGACCUUUGUGUAAUUGUAGCCAACUUGUCCUGCAUAUUCAUUGUUUUUCACUUAUUUCAGGUCUUCACAUGGCUGUCAUUGAAAUAUAUAAUUAGAACACAGUCCCCCUCUUAUGUUUUGAUGCCAGUGCAUUAUAGAUUAGUGUAGUGUUAGUGAGGAUAACCUGAACACAUCUAUGCAAACCACGCUCCGUCAUGAGGCUGAUGGUGUGUGUGUGUGUGUGUGUGACAGCAGCACUGACUUCGCCUCUGAUCCGGAUGAUCAGUUUGGUGCCAUGGGGAAACAUGAAUUAUGUCUCGAGGGCUCGAGAUGCCGUGAUGAUCCAAUGAAUCGCUAACUCGUGGAAAUCAGCACUUAGCGCUGCAAUAUGAAUGACGAACCAAGAAAUACAUUUCUAUCAGGUCCUCAUACAUUUCUGCUUUGAUCAUGAAAUCGUCAUUCUUGAUUGUUGAUUAGGAAUGACGACCCAAACUGAUGAAAAUAUUUUAAGAAAGCGUUACAGCAGUUUUUUCUCCCCAUGCCGUUCUGUCUUUUGUGUUUUUAAGUUUACAUGGUCACUCUGUGGCGGAAGUGAGAUAAAAUCAUAGCUAAUUGAAUUCAUUCCUUCAGAUCUACAACUGAUGUAUUUAAUUGAUGAUGAUAAUGACAUUUGUGAUGAGUAAUAAACCAUAAUAUAUUAAAUCAU